GAUGAAGAACGUAGCGAAAUGCGAUAAGUAAUGUGAAUUGCAGAAUUCAGUGAAUCAUCGAAUCUUUGAACGCACAUUGCGCCCGCCAGUAUUCUGGCGGGCAUGCCUGUUCGAGCGUCAUUACAACCCUCAGGCCCCCGGGCCUGGCGUUGGGGAUCGGCGGAGCCCCCCGUGGGCACACGCCGUCCCCCCAAUACAGUGGCGGUCCCGCCGCAGCUUCCAUCGCGUAGUAGCUAACACCUCGCGACUGGAGAGCGGCGCGGCCACGCCGUAAAACACCCAACUCUUCUGAAGUUGACCUCGAAUCAGGUAGGAAUACCCGCUGAACUUAAGCAUAUCAAUAAGCGGAGGA
rnacentral:misc_RNA from 1 species